GGGGUUGUAGCUCAGAGGUAAAGCGCUCGCUUAGCAUGUGUGAGGCAAUGGGUUCAAUUCUCAGCAACUCAU
rfam:Ictidomys tridecemlineatus contig105832, whole genome shotgun sequence.